rnacentral:rRNA from 1 species
CCAGACUCCUACGGGAGGCAGCAGUGAGGAAUAUUGGUCAAUGGGCGCGAGCCUGAACCAGCCAAGUCGCGUGAGGGAUGACGGCCCUACGGGUUGUAAACCUCUUUUGUCGGGGAGCAAAUUCCGCCACGUGUGGCGGAGUCGAGAGUACCCGAAGAAAAAGCAUCGGCUAACUCCGUGCCAGCAGCCGCGGUAAUACGUAGGUGGCAAGCGUUAUCCGGAUUUACUGGGUGUAAAGGGCGUGUAGGCGGGAUGGUAAGUCAGAUGCGAAAACUAUGGGCUCAACCCAUAGCCUGCAUUUGAAACUAUCGUUCUUGAGUGUUGGAGAGGCAGGCGGAAUUCCGUGUGUAGCGGUGAAAUGCGUAGAUAUACGGAGGAACACCAGUGGCGAAGGCGGCCUGCUGGACAAUAACUGACGCUGAGGCGCGAAGGCCAGGGGAGCGAAAGGGAUUAGAUACCCGUGUA